AGUAAAUAUGAGAAAAUGCAGCUGCAUUGGCUUGGCUAUAUGUUUCAAGUUUGAGAUUUAUGUACAGUAUUUGUUAACUCCUCACCAGACUUGGCGAGGUACUGUUCUGGGGCCAACGCAUAUUUUAUUAUUAUUUUUUUCAGUUAACUUGUUCUCUCGUUUAUUCUCUUUCUUCGUCCCGAGCCCUUCCCUCCCCAUUUCCUCUUUCUCUUCUUUCUUUCUCCAGAAACCAUUUUCUCUUGUUCGACCAGGCAAUCCGCUUCUCUCCGUCAAUUUUUUUCUUUCUUCUGGACGAAACCUCCCCAUUUCCUUUUUUUUAUUCUUUCUUCUCCCAAAACUCUCUACUUCUUCAACCCAGGCGAACCCCAGUUCUUUCCAUCGCAUGAAUCUCUUCUUCAACCUUCAAGGCCCCUUUUCUCCGUCGAUCGUCCACAUUGCCGUCGUCUUCCAUCCCAAAUGGACCAUUGAUGUGUUGAACCCCUUUCCUUGCCAGUGAAUCAUCGUCUAGAAGGUUGUGCCAUUUCGUCCACAAAUUUUCCAUAAUAAAGCUCCGAUUCGGGUAAAUGAUUUGGUAUUUGUAAUUUAUAAAUUGGUAGGAUUGUGGUUGGACUCAUCUGAAGGUUUAUUUUUUCAUUGUUUUUGUGUUGAAUGCUAUCCAGAUGUGUUGAAUGCAUUUUUGUGUUGAAUGCUAUCCAGAUGUUGGGGAGGGGGAGGGGGCGGCGUGAAGCUUUGUGAGGAAGAUAAAAUUUCAUUGGUUAGGUUUUUUCAAAUUGAACUUUGAAUGCUAGUUUUUUUCUGGUUGGUAGGGCGUUAAAUUUCUGGUUUAAGAAAUACAAGGAAAAUAAUUAUUAGGAAUAACAAGAAAAUGGUUCUAAACUUGGGUACGAGGGUGUUGUAAACUAGUUUUUUUUUUUUUUUUUCAUCUUUCCUGCAAUAUUCGGUAGCCCCAGAAACUGUAACUUGGGUAUAAGGAAGUUGUAAAACAUUUCUAAAAAAUACAGUUCUAAACUUGUAGAUCAAGUCCCCACAUAGUUUUUUUUUUUUUUCAUUUUUCCUGCAAUAUUCUCAUUUUUUCUGUGGAAGUUGUAAUGUCUAUGAUGAGCAUAAUAGGAAGAAUUCUCAAUUCAUUACUCUGUUUCAAUAUGCCUAAAAGUCAGACUUGGGUUUCCAUUUUCACAUUUUGAGGCCUAGAGUACUUUGGGGGUAUGAACGAACUCUUAUAUAGGUGAAACUCCCAAAUAAUGUUUUUAUUCCUCUUGUGUUCUUGAAUGAUGGCUCGGUACAUGUGUUGAAUCUGGUUUGUGCUCCUAGUUUGUGAAGUUGAGUCUAUAGUGGUCUGCUAUAUUCAUUCCAUAUUCUUGAUGGAAUGAAUAUGGUGUAUUGAAAAGAGAUCACCUCAUUAACCACACCUAGUUGCUUCCGAUAAGCCUUCCAUGCCAAUUCCUCCAUUUCCCAUAGAAAUUUGGUGAGCAAUAAUUUUUUUUAGAUAAGGUGUAGUAAGAGUCAACACCAAAUUGGAGUUGAAUUUCACACACACAUAAAGACACAUAGAUUCUUUUAAUUAUUUUACAACCAAAGCAUAUACUCAAUUAAAAACAAGUAUGCAACACAUUAGUGAAAAAAUGCAGUUGUAUCAACAAUUUAUGUUUCAACUGCACUGGCUUUGAUGCAACACAUAUACUCAAUUAGUCCAGCUGCAGUGGCUUUGAUGCUAUUUAUUGCCUGUCCCAGAAUAAAAAAUGAGUUCUGUACCAUACUUCUGAGCAAUAUUGUUGGGUAGAACAUAUCAACAGACUUAUACUUUGAUUUAGUGACAUUGUUUUUUUUUUUCUCCAAUUAUUCUGAAAAUUUAAUAUAGAUGUUAAUGAC